rnacentral:lncRNA from 1 species
CUUCUUUGAUCAACUGAGCGAAACCAGGGUGUUUGGUAAGGUAAUUUUGAAAUUUGUAAGGGUAGGUUCCAGCUUUUGGGAGGAAAAGGGCAAGGUUUAAUAGACAGGGUGUAUGGUCGGAUAUUUCAGGGGGAAGAAAGGUUGCGACAGCAUGAGGGUAGGAUGAGAUAGUGGUGUUGUUGACCAGGAGACGAUCUAGCUUCUUUGCUAUAGGGCCCUCAGGAUGAUUAUUCGUCCAUGUGUGGCACGGCCCAAGGUAGCGCAGGUCAAACAGACCAGCUUGGAGGAAGCAGUCUUGAAGCUGAUACAUGAGAUUGUCUGUAAAGUUAACUUCUGGAUUUGAGUGUUCAAAGGGGAAUAGAAUCUGGUUCAGGUCCCCUCCAACAACCCAAUUUCUGGAAUCUAAUUCGAGUGAUGAAUGAUUUUGAAGGAGAUCAUGCCAAAGUUCCAAUCGCUCGUCAGCAAGGUUAGAGGCGUAUAUAGCAGUGUAGUAUAUUGGGGCUUGGUUAGGGAGGGUAAUGGAACAGGUAAUAAGCUGACUGGUUUGGAAAAGUAUUUGAACAUCCAAGGGGUAUUUCCAGAUCAAAAUAAUUCGGCCAUCUGGGUCAGCUGAGUGGUUUGAAUAGAACUUCCACCCAGGGCAGAUUUUAGAUAGGGUUGGGUUUAGAAAGGGUUCUUUAAUAUGAGUUUCUAAUAGGGCACCAAAAAGGGGUUUUUGACUACUAAGCCAAUCCGCAAAAGGUUUAUGCUUGCCCGGGUCAUUUAGGCCACGGACAUUCCAAAAAAAGAGCUUUACACUCAUUGAGAAGGGUUAAGAGCACCCUCGGGCAGAGGAGCUCCUAGAGAACCAAAAGAAAUAAGAUUUUGCUUGUUGUCGGAUAGGUUGGGUGAAGGGGGAGGUUUAAAGAUCAUGGGUGGUAAGAGGGUUUCAAAAGAGGGUAUAGGAGGAUUCUGAAGAACAGAGAAAGGAUUGGCGGUUGUUGAAGUUGGAGGGGACAAUGUCGGGGAGGAUCUCGAGCGUUUCAGAGAAGGUCGAGGCAUUUGAUCAGGAGAGGUGAAAUGGUUUGAGUUAACAAUGGUUAAAGGAAGAUCAGGGGGUAGAGAAGGAGAUGAGAAACCAUGAGAGGCUGAAGGGGUAGUAGAGUUUGAGGAUGAGGUUUUGACAGAGGGAGUAGUAGGUUCUAAGACAGGAACAAAUGGCGUGGGAGGGUUCUUUUUCUGGUAUUUUCUAGAGGCUUUGGAUGGGGUAAAGUUGGUUUGAGGAGUAAUGGUAUUAUGAGGGUUUUUUUGAGGGGAUUUAUGAGGUUUGUCUUUGGUGGGAAGGGUUUGAUUAUGGUCUGAGAGGGAGGUUUUUUUUGUUUCAGGAGCAGGGGGAGUGUAGGUGAGGCAGUUACGCACUAUGUGACCAAGUUCGUGACAAUGGGAGCAAGUUGGAGGGACCCAAGGGUAGUGAACUGUGACUUCAACAACUUCUCCACUCUCCCUCUCGAAUUCAACCACAGGGGGCAAGGGAGCUGUUAGGUCGACCUCUACUUUGACGUGAGAGAGAGUUAGGCUCACAAGGUUUUUGGUGAAGUCAUCCGUCUCUUUUGGUUCUCCAACAAGCCCCGCCACCCAGCUUAAUCCUUCCUCAUGGCGAAGAUCAAGCGGAACACCCGUAAGAUGAGCCCAGAUCUUGAUUGCUUUCAACGGAGGGGUAGUCAUGGAGUGAUCAGAGUUCCAUUGGGCAGUGUGGAACAUUGAGUCUCCCACAUACCAUAUAUUUUUCUCCAAGAUCUUGUUUCUAAGGUAUUCACUCUGUAUUCUCACUAUGGCUGCAUGAUUUAAAGGGUUGUUAUGGAUCUCUAGUCUCUUGCCCUUUCCCCACAUAUAGUUAAAUACACUUUGUAUUUGAUUGUAUGGUGGAGACUUUCCAUUGAAGUAACAGAUGAUGAAAUCCUUAUGUAAAUCUGCUCCUUUUUUGAAAACAGAAUCAGGAAUAACAACUUUUGGGCGGCCAGAGGGAGCUAUGGUGGUAGGGGCAAGGCGUCUUAAUGUUUUGUCUUCUGCAGCUCGCAGCUUUUCAGCAAGGGUCUGGUAUUGAGCCGAGGAAUGCUCUGGUUCAGUAGCUGUCGAGGGGUUUUGCGGAGGAACAGGUAAUAGAGGAGGAGGGUUGAGAGGAGGUGUGGAGGAUGUGGCUUGGUUUGUUUGGAUGGGGGAGGAGGCUUUUGGAGGAAGAAUAGUGAAAGUUAAGUUUGGGUUUGUUUCUGAUUCAACUGUAGCAAUCUCAGAUCUGGAUUCUGAAAUAGGUACAGUAGUUGUUGAAGAGGAGUUUUCUUGCUCAAUAAACCAAAGAUUCAGCUCUAUUUUUGUAGUCUAUGAAUAAAUGUUGUGUAUCUUUAUUUGUAGUUUAUGAGUGAUGUAUGUUAUUUCGGUUAUGAUCUGAAAUAAAUGAUCUUGA